rnacentral:tRNA from 1 species
ACCAAAUUAACUUAACGGUAAAGUAUCUGUUUUGUAAACAGACUAUAUAGGUUCAACUCCUAUAUUUGGUA